AGACUUCGUGGCCCAACAUAUCCCAGAAUGCAUAGCGCAGUGGUGGGUUUGCAUAAUUUUGCCAAAAAAAAAACGUCGGAAGAGGGGCGCCCGAAGAGUAAACUUUAAAAGACAGGAGAGAGAGGAGGAGGAGAGACCAGAGGUGAUGAAGAGUUCAGCAGUGAAGAAAAGUUUUCACGGCAUUCAAUAAAUGCAGCGAAGCGCCCGUCUUGAAGAAGCCGUGCCUGUGUUGUCAUUUCGGAGUUACAGUGAAAACUCGCCCUAGCCAGUGCCGGUGAGAAGCUAAUUAAGAAGACGGCAGCUGCAGAGAGAGACGGGGAAGUGGAGCGACACAAGAGGGCGCCAUUGUAUAA